GUAGGGUGCGAGCGUUGUCCGGAAUUAUUGGGCGUAAAGAGCUCGUAGGCGGUGUGUCACGUCGUUCGUGAAAACCUGCAGCUUAACUGUGGGCGUGCGGUCGAUACGGGCAUCACUGGAGUUCGGCAGGGGAGACUGGAAUUCCUGGUGUAGCGGUGAAAUGCGCAGAUAUCAGGAGGAACACCGGUGGCGAAGGCGGGUCUCUGGGCCGAUACUGACGCUGAGGAGCGAAAGCGUGGGGAGCAAACAGGAUUAGAUACCCUGGUAGUCCACGCCGUAAACGGUGGGCACUAGGUGUGGGGGCCAUUCCACGGUCUCUGUGCCGCAGCUAACGCAUUAAGUGCCCCGCCUGGGGAGUACGGCCGCAAGGCUA
rnacentral:rRNA from 1 species